CACCGUCUUCACAGGCCCAUGCCUGCCCUCCUCAAAUUCCAUAUCACUCACUUUACAUAUUUCCAUACCCCUUCAUAUUUGCAUUACAACGCUCUUCUCUGUUCUAAACAUUCCCUCUUCAUAUUAUUCACAUUCUCAUAAUGUCGUUCUUCUUAAUUCUAUAACCUCCAUCUUCAUAUAAUUUGUAUUCUGAAUAUUCCCAUAUUUUCAC